rnacentral:rRNA from 1 species
UACAGAGGUCUCAAGCGUUGUUCGGAUUCAUUGGGCGUCAAGGGUGCGUAGGUGGCGCGCUAAGUCAGGUGUGAAAUUUCGGAGCUUAACUCCGAAACUGCAUUUGAUACUGGCGUGCUUGAGGACUGGAGAGGAGACUGGAAUUCAUGGUGUAGCAGUGAAAUGCGUAGAGAUCAUGAGGAAGACCAGUGGCGAAGGCGGGUCUCUGGACAGUUCCUGACACUGAGGCACGAAGGCCAGGGGAGCAAACGGG